rnacentral:rRNA from 1 species
CCUACGGGUGGCAGCAGUGGGGGAUAUUGCACAAUGGGGGAAACCCUGAUGCAGCGACGCCGCGUGUGGGAAGACGGUCCUCUGGAUUGUAAACCACUGUCCCCAGGGACGAAGAUGACGGUACCUGGGGAGGAAGCUCCGGCUAAUUACUUGCCAGCAGCCGCGGUAAUACUUAGGGAGCAAGCGUUUCCCGGAAGUACUGGGUGUAAAGGGAGCGUAGGCGGGAUGGCCAGUUGGGUGUUAAAUCUACCGGCUAAACUGGGAGUCGAACUCAAAACUGCUAUUCUUGAGUGAAGUAGAGGCAGGCGGAAUUCCUAGUGUAGCGGUGAAAUGCGUAGAUAUUAGGAGGAACACCAGUGGCGAAGGCGGCCUGCUGGGCUUUUACUGACGCUGAGGCUCGAAAGUGUGGGGAGCAAAUAGGAUUAGAUACCCCAGUAGUC